rnacentral:rRNA from 1 species
UACGUAGGGUGCAAGCGUUGUCCGGAAUUAUUGGGCGUAAAGAGCUUGUAGGCGGUUUGUCGCGUCUGCUGUGAAAUUUCGGGGCUCAACCCCGAACUUGCAGUGGGUACGGGCAGACUAGAGUGUGGUAGGGGAGACUGGAAUUCCUGGUGUAGCGGUGAAAUGCGCAGAUAUCAGGAGGAACACCAGCGGCGGAAGGCGGC